CUCGAGGACGAACGCUGGCGGCGUGCUUAACACAUGCAAGUCGAACGGUAAGGCCCUUCGGGGUACACGAGUGGCGAACGGGUGAGUAACACGUGGGUGAUCUGCCCUGCACUUCGGGAUAAGCCUGGGAAACUGGGUCUAAUACCGGAUAGGACCAUGGACUUCACGGUUUGUGGUGGAAAGCUUUUGCGGUGUGGGAUGGGCCCGCGGCCUAUCAGCUUGUUGGUGGGGUAAUGGCCUACCAAGGCGACGACGGGUAGCCGGCCUGAGAGGGUGUCCGGCCACACUGGGACUGAGAUACGGCCCAGACUCCUACGGGAGGCAGCAGUGGGGAAUAUUGCACAAUGGGCGCAAGCCUGAUGCAGCGACGCCGCGUGAGGGAUGACGGCCUUCGGGUUGUAAACCUCUUUCAAUAGGGACGAAGCGCAAGUGACGGUACCUAUAGAAGAAGCACCGGCCAACUACGUG
rnacentral:rRNA from 1 species